rnacentral:rRNA from 1 species
AGUCGAACGGUGAAGCAGAGCUUGCUCUGUGGAUCAGUGGCGAACGGGUGAGUAACACGUGAGCAAUCUGCCCCUGACUCUGGGAUAAGCGCUGGAAACGGCGUCUAAUACCGGAUACGAGCUGCGAAGGCAUCUUCAGCAGCUGGAAAGAAUUUCGGUCAGGGAUGAGCUCGCGGCCUAUCAGCUUGUUGGUGAGGUAACGGCUCACCAAGGCGUCGACGGGUAGCCGGCCUGAGAGGGUGACCGGCCACACUGGGACUGAGACACGGCCCAGACUCCUACGGGAGGCAGCAGUGGGGAAUAUUGCACAAUGGGCGAAAGCCUGAUGCAGCAACGCCGCGUGAGGGACGACGGCCUUCGGGUUGUAAACCUCUUUUAGCAGGAAAGAAGCGAAAGUGACGGUACCUGCAGAAAAAGCGCCGGCUAACUACGUGCCAGCAGCCGCGGUAAUACGUAGGGCGCAAGCGUUAUCCGGAAUUAUUGGGCGUAAAGAGCUCGUAGGCGGUCUGUCGCGUCUGCUGUGAAAACCCGAGGCUCAACCUCGGGCCUGCAGUGGGUACGGGCAGACUAGAGUGCGGUAGGGGAGAUUGGAAUUCCUGGUGUAGCGGUGGAAUGCGCAGAUAUCAGGAGGAACACCGAUGGCGAAGGCAGAUCUCUGGGCCGUAACUGACGCUGAGGAGCGAAAGGGUGGGGAGCAAACAGGCUUAGAUACCCUGGUAGUCCACCCCGUAAACGUUGGGAACUAGUUGUGGGGUCCAUUCCACGGAUUCCGUGACGCAGCUAACGCAUUAAGUUCCCCGCCUGGGGAGUACGGCCGCAAGGCUAAAACUCAAAGGAAUUGACGGGGACCCGCACAAGCGGCGGAGCAUGCGGAUUAAUUCGAUGCAACGCGAAGAACCUUACCAAGGCUUGACAUAUACGAGAACGGGCCAGAAAUGGUCAACUCUUUGG